AAAUUUAGCACAAUAAUUUUCAAAGAGGAAUAAAAGAGGUUCCUUUGAGUGUUUGAUUUUAGCAAGUUUGAUAAAUCGAAGACUGUGUUGAAGAGAUUCCGUCAUAUUAAUGUUUGCUUUUGAGAUGGAGAAGGAUAGGAUUUCACGGAUUCUCCAAUUUUAUCUCGUUGGCCACGGAAACAUAUCGUCGGAGAGAAGAAGAUUUGUUCAGAUUUGAUAAAACAAUUGAAGGUUACAGUGUCUUCACCAGUCCUGUAAUUGGUGAUGACUAUAUCCAUCUUGGUAGGUCUAUUGUUGACUCACGAAAUAACACAAUCCUUCCCAGUACGAGAAUGCAAGAAACUUGCUGUUGGACGUGGUAGUGGUCGUGGCAAGAAGAAAUGAUUAUGUGGCGUUGUCUUUUGUAUUUUUAGACUUGAUUAGUUUAUCAGAUGUGUU
rnacentral:sRNA from 1 species